rnacentral:rRNA from 1 species
AUUGAACGCUGGCGGCAGGCCUAACACAUGCAAGUCGAGCGGAGCGGCGGACGGGUGAGUAAUGCCUAGGAAUCUGCCUGGUAGUGGGGGAUAACGUCCGGACACGGGCGCUACUACCGCCUACUAUCCGCUGAGCCUAGGUCGGAUUAGCUCGUUGAUGGGGUAAAGUCCUACCAAGGCGACGAUCCGUACCUGGUCUGAGAGGAUGAUCAGUCACACGGGAGCUGAGAGACGGUCCAAACUCCUACGGGAGGCACCAGUGGGGAAGAUUGGACAAGGGGCGAAAGCCUGAACCAGCCAUGCCGCGUGUGUGAAGAGGGUCUUCGGAGUGUAAAGCACUUUAAGUUGGGAGGCGUUACCAACAGAAUAAGCACCGGCUAACUUCGUGCCAGCAGCCGCGGUAAUAC